CUUGUAUAAUAUGUUCCUAACACCAUGAAGAGCAGAUGCAACAGCAUAAGCAUACAUUUCAAGCACCCAACCAAAAGCUUUAUCUGUUUCAGGAUCCUUCUUCAUUGCCAAGGAAACAUUCAUCCAAGUGGGAGCAAUCUUCUUAAGAGAUUCCUUUCCAAGGAUGACAGGAGAAUUUCCUAUAGGAUCAAUGCUUGUUAUUGGUCCCUUGUCCUCAGGGAAGUACUUUCGGAGGACUGAUUCAUACUUCUUAGGCUCAAUAUAAAAGAAAGGAAAUGCAGCUCCAAGCCCAUCUUUAGAUAAGUUUGGCAUAGGCUUAACAAUUAUAUGAUCCGGCUCUGCCAUUAGUAUGUAAUCUUCUUUUAUGUCUGCUUGUUGAAGCCAUUGCACAAAUGCCCAAGGUCUGUUCAGGACUAUAUAACCCUGAUCCAUGCCAGACGGAAGAGGCUGGGCUAUGAAGGUUGGGAUCUCAUCCAUGAACUUGUCAGGUUUUCCAGAGUGCAAGAUCCUGGUAAAGCCACCCAUCUCAGAAUUAGGUCCAUCCUUGAACUUCUUGAACCAGUAGUACAUUACCCUACACUGCCACGUGUUAUAAACUGAAUCGGAGGCUGUAACAGCAGUGUGAAACAGCCUCUUCUUGGCAGAACCGUAUCUCCUGGACCUCUCAAGUGGCAUCUUGAUUAUGGGGUCAACAGAAAGAAAAGAGGAAGAUGUAGUAGAUGGACCUGGAAGGUCUUGCUUGAGAGGUGCAUUGGCAGAGAUGAGAAUAUUGUAUGUAAUCAGAGCUACUGAGGAGGUUAUCAGGACAGCGAAGAAGAGAUUUCCCCAACCCAUUUUCUGUCUAAUUCUCGGUGAAACACUUUGCUUGCCCCAACAUAACACACACUCUAAACCGUUCACAAGUGCAGAACACGGGAAAAAGAUGGCGGCUUCAUAAAAGUCGUCGAGGAGUGGUUGGAGAAAGUGGCUUAUCUGUUAGAUUCUUGUUUAGAUAUACGUAAAGACAGCAAGACA
rnacentral:misc_RNA from 1 species